UACAGAGGUCUCAAGCGUUGUUCGGAUUCAUUGGGCGUAAAGGGUGCGUAGGCGGCGCGGUAAGUCGGGUGUGAAAUCUCGGAGCUUAACUCCGAAACUGCAUUCGAUACUGCCGUGCUUGAGGACUGGAGAGGAGACUGGAAUUUACGGUGUAGCGGUGAAAUGCGUAGAUAUCGUAAGGAAGACCAGUGGCGAAGGCGGGUCUCUGGACAGUUCCUGACGCUGAGGAGCGAAAGCGUGGGGGAGCGAACGGGG
rnacentral:rRNA from 1 species